rnacentral:rRNA from 1 species
UGAGUAACACGUAUGCAAUCCACCUGUAACAGGGGAUAACCCGGAGAAAUCCGGACUAAUACCCCAUAAUAUGGGCGCUCCGCAUGGAGAGUCCAUUAAAGAGAGCAAUCUUGGUUACAGACGAGCAUGCGCUCCAUUAGCCAGUUGGCGGGGUAACGGCCCACCAAGGCGACGAUGGAUAGGGGUUCUGAGAGGAAGGUCCCCACAUUAGAACUGAGACACGGUCCAA